AUUGAACGCUGGCGGCAUGCUUUACACAUGCAAGUCGAGCGGCAGCGCGGGGGCAACCCUGGCGGCGAGCGGCGAACGGGUGAGGAACACAUCGGAACGUGCCCCGGAGUGGGGGAUAACGCCGCGAAAGCGGCGCUAAUACCGCAUAUGCUCUGAGGAGGAAAGCGGGGGACCAGCAAUGGCCUCGCGCUCUGGGAGCGGCCGAUGUCCGAUUAGCUAGCGGUGGGGUAAUGGCCCACCAAGGCGACGAUCGGUAGCUGGUCUGAGAGGAUGAUCAGCCACACUGGGACUGAGACACGGCCCAGACUCCUACGGGAGGCAGCAGUGGGGAAUUUUGGACAAUGGGGCAACCCUGAUCCAGCCAUGCCGCGUGCGGGAAGAAGGCCUCGG
rnacentral:rRNA from 1 species